AAAAAUUUGCACCAUUUGUAGUGGGGAGGAGCCUGGCCCCUCCUCUUCCCGUGUGGAAACUGGAGUUUGAACUCCAGGGCAGGAAGCACUCUAGCAAGGGACUCCGGCCUUGCGGAGAAUCCCUGUUUCCUUUUAAUUCUUCCUUUUUACUCAAUAAAGCCCUGUCUUACUCACCAUUCAAAUUGUCUGUGAGCCUGAACUUUCAUGGCUGUGGGACAAAGAACCCCGACUUUAGUUGAACUAUGGAAAAAUCCUGCAACAGCACAAAGCAAGACCAAGUGCCGCCAUCUCUGUAGAAUAGUACAUGGUAAGCAGAGAGCAUCACACCUGAGCAGCAUUCUUACUCAGCUCAACAGCAAUAUCUGAGCCUGAGUUUCCCAUUCCAAUCACCAGGAUGCGUUUUCCCUCAAAUCCAUCUGGAUGCUUGUAUUGGCGGCUAUGGAAAUAUUGGCCUUUGAACCUCUCCAUACCUUCAGGGGGAAGAAGAGAGAAGUCUGUGAGCUCCAGAGCAACUAUGUCAAGCUAAUUUCAAUAAAACUGCAUUGCCAGCUUUUCCUUUCUGGAGUUAAUAA
rnacentral:lncRNA from 1 species